AGCAACACACAUUGACCAAAUAUGAAUGGAAUCAACAUCACUCAAUGGUAAAUAGAAGUGAGAUGAAGCUUAGAAGUCAAGAAACAAUAAAAAUAUUUUGGUAAUUUUUGGAAUUAAAAUAAUACUUGAGUUAAAAUACACAAAAUAAAGGUCAAACUUCAAAUCCAUUUCAAAUCAACUUGGAAAAGUCCAAAUGGAUCAUUAUAAGUUCAACAUGGUCAAACAAGGUUUGAC
rnacentral:lncRNA from 1 species